AAAUUGAAGAGUUUGAUCAUGGCUCAGAUUGAACGCUGGCGGCAGGCCUAACACAUGCAAGUCGAACGGUAACAGGAAGCAGCUUGCUGCUUCGCUGACGAGUGGCGGACGGGUGAGUAAUGUCUGGGAAACUGCCUGAUGGAGGGGGAUAACUACUGGAAACGGUGGCUAAUACCGCAUAACGUCGCAAGACCAAAGAGGGGGACCUUAGGGCCUCUUGCCAUCAGAUGUGCCCAGAUGGGAUUAGCUUGUUGGUGAGGUAACGGCUCACCAAGGCGACGAUCCCUAGCUGGUCUGAGAGGAUGACCAGCCACACUGGAACUGAGACACGGUCCAGACUCCUACGGGAGGCAGCAGUGGGGAAUAUUGCACAAUGGGCGCAAGCCUGAUGCAGCCAUGCCGCGUGUAUGAAGAAGGCCUU
rnacentral:rRNA from 1 species